GAUGAACGCUGGCGGCGUGCCUAAUACAUGCAAGUCGAGCGAACGGACGAGAAGCUUGCUUCUCUGAUGUUAGCGGCGGACGGGUGAGUAACACGUGGAUAACCUACCUAUCAGACUGGGAUAACUUCGGGAAACCGGAGCUAAUACCGGAUAAUCUUUUGAACCGCAUGGUUCAUUAGUGAAAGACGGUCUUGCUGUCACUUCUCGCUGGUUCCGCGCUGCAUUAUCUAGUUGGUAAGGUAACGGCUUACCAAGGCAACGAUGCAUAGCCGACCUGAGAGGGGGAUCGGCCACACUGGAACUGAGACACGGUCCAGAGUCCUACGGGAGGCAGCAGUAGGGAAGCUUCCGCAAUGGGCGAAAGCCUGACGGAGCAACGCCGCGUGAGUGAAGAAGGGCUUCGGAUCGUAAAACUCUGUUAUGAGGGAAGAACAUAUGUGUAAGUAACUGUGCACAUCUGGACGGUACCUAAACAGAAAGCCACGGCUAACUACGU
rnacentral:rRNA from 1 species